rnacentral:tRNA from 1 species
AUAAUUUUAGUUUAAUAAAAAAUAUUAAUUUGUCAGGUUAAAGAUGCAAAAAUUUGCAAGUUGUA